GCUGCGAUGGCCGAGUGGUUAAGGCGUUGGACUCGAAAUCCGUGGGAUAUUCCCGCUCAGGUUCAAAUCCUGCUCGUUGUG
rnacentral:tRNA from 1 species